GUCCCUGUUUGUCACCCAGUGAUGAAAGUAAAGCUGGUGCAAACUAAGAAUGAAAAUGAGUGAGUAAACAAUCUAAUCCCACCGCAUGCCUGUCACCCACACAGCCAGAUUAGUAACAUCAAUAAAAGCGAAAGACGACUCAAGAAAAAAAAGAAAAAUAUAGUUGAAGGGUUUCCAUGUUCUACCGCUGUCUGAUCUGCACCUUCAUUUGUCAUUUGCAAAG
rnacentral:lncRNA from 1 species